rnacentral:rRNA from 1 species
UACGUAGGGGGCGAGCGUUAUCCGGAUUUAUUGGGCGUAAAGCGUGUGUAGGCGGUUUGUUAAGUUUAAGAUUAAAGCCCGAGGCUUAACCUCGGUUCGUCUUAAAAACUGGCAGACUUGAGUGCAGUAGAGGCAAGUGGAAUUUCUAGUGUAGCGGUUAAAUGCGUAGAUAUUAGAAGGAACACCAGUGGCGAAGGCGGCUUGCUGGGCUGUUACUGACGCUGAGACACGAAAGCGUGGGGAGC